CAGUAGCCGCGGUAAUACGUAGGUGGCAAGCGUUGUCCGGAAUUAUUGGGCGUAAAGGGCUCGCAGGCGGUUUCUUAAGUCUGAUGUGAGAGCCCCCGGCUCAACCGGGGAGGGUCAUUGGAGACUGGGAAACUUGAGUGCAGAAGAGGAGAGUGGAAUUCCACGUGUAGCGGUGAAAUGCGUAGAGAUGUGGAGGAACACCAGUGGCGAAGGCGACUCUCUGGUCUAUAACUGACGCUGAGGAGCGAAAGCGUGGGGAGCGAACAGGAUUAGAGACCCGCGUAGUCCCUGUCUCUUAUAC
rnacentral:rRNA from 1 species